rnacentral:rRNA from 1 species
ACUCCUACGGGAGGCAGCAGUGGGAAUAUUGCACAAUGGGCGCAAGCCUGAUGCAGCAACGCCGUCGUGAGUGAAGAAAGGUUUACGGUAUCGUAAAACUACUGUCCUAAGGGAAGAAACAAAUGACGGUACCUUAGGAGGAAGCCCGGCUACUACGUGCCAGCAGCCGCGGUAAUACGUAGGGGGCGAAGCGUUAUCCGGAAUCACUGGGCGUAAAGGGUGCGUAGGCGGCUUAGCAAGCCAGGGGUGAAAGGCAUUGGCUCAACCAAUGUAAGCCUUUGGAACUGUUAAGCUUGAGUGCAGGAGAGGUAAGUGGAAUUCCUAGUGUAGAGGUGAAAUUCGUAGAUAUUAGGAGGAACACCAGUGGCGAAGGCGACUUACUGGACUGUAACUGACGCUGAUGCACGAAAGCGUGGGUAGCGAACAGGAUUAGAUACCCUGGUAGCA